rnacentral:rRNA from 1 species
CGUAGGGCGCAAGCGUUAUCCGGAAUUAUUGGGCGUAAAGAGCUCGUAGGCGGUUUGUCGCGUCUGCUGUGAAAUCCGGAGGCUCAACCUCCGGCCUGCAGUGGGUACGGGCAGACUAGAGUGCGGUAGGGGAGAUUGGAAUUCCUGGUGUAGCGGUGGAAUGCGCAGAUAUCAGGAGGAACACCGAUGGCGAAGGCAGAUCUCUGGGCCGUAACUGACGCUGAGGAGCGAAAGGGUGGGAGCAAACAGGCUU